GUUUUUAACUGGGAUCCUGAUGAAACUACACUGCAGGAUAUCAAUGAUGUGUUGUUGGAGUUGGAGCCAUUUAAUAGAUUUAAGUACCACUUACAGAUUGAUAAAGUAGACCUAGUUGAUAGUGAUCAAUCAGUCGUAGAUCUAUUUAAACAAACACAGACGUCAUUAACAUCAGGUCAUAAACCAAAAGAUCAAGAGAUUGAAAAAUUUAAAGGUAUUAUUACAAAAAAAGAGAUGAAUUCAGACACUGAAGUUAUGGAUUUACAAUAUACCCUCAAAGAUAAAGAAGAAAAGA